rnacentral:tRNA from 1 species
GGCGUUGAUUUCGCGUGAAAGAGAGACGGAUUGCAAAUCCGUGCACACCGGUUCGAUUCCGGUACUCGCCUCCA